AAAAAUUAAAAUUUAUAUAUUUUUUAAUUCUGGAUAUUAUUAGUAGCUUUUAGAAUUAAUUAUAUGUGUUAGCUUAAAAAAAAUUGGCAGUAAUGAAUUUUAAUAUAAUUAUUAAAAUUAGAAUUAGAAUUUUAAGGAAGUAAGGUUAAAUAUGUGCCAGCAGCAGCGGUUAAACUUGUUUAUUAAGUUACUUUAUUAGAUUAAUAAAAUUUAUUUUUUAAAUUAAUUUUUUUAAAUUAAUUUUGGGUAAAAUCAUUAUUUAAUUUUAUUUUGAGAAAGGAUAUUUGAGAAAAAGAAUAAAAAAUAGGAUUAGAUACCCUAGUAUCCUUUUCGUAAAUUUAUUAUUUGGGGAAUAUUGUUUAUGAUAUAUAAAUUCAAAGAAUUUGGCGGUAUAAUAAUUUUUUAGGGGAGUUUGUUUUUUAAUUCGAUAAUCCACGAUUUACCUUACUUUAUUUUUAAAGUUUACACAUUUCCGUUAUAUAGGUUUAUCUUAAAAAUGGUUAAUAAACUAAUUAUUAUUUAAAUAAUAUUUAAAUCAGGUAAAUAAGUAGUUUUAAUAAAGGAUAAAAUGAGCUACAAUUGUUAAAAACAUGAAUUGAAAGACUUUUUGAAAAAGAAAUUUGAAAUUGAACUUAAAAGUAAUAUUUACAUUAGAUAAGUAAUUUGAAUAAAAUAAAUUAUAUGUACAAAUCGCCCGAUGCUCCCCCUGAAAAGGGGGAUAAAUCGUAACAAAGUAGAAUUAUCAGAAGAUGAUUCUAGAGUUUU
rnacentral:ncRNA from 1 species